GGUUAAGCGACCAAGCGUACACGGUGGAUGCCCUGGCAGUCAGAGGCGAUGAAGGACGUGCUAAUCUGCGAUAAGCGCCGGUAAGGUGAUAUGAACCGUUAUAACCGGCGAUUUCCGAAUGGGGAAACCCAGUGUGACUCGUCACACUAUCAUUACGUGAAUACAUAGCGUAAUGAAGCGAACCGGGGGAACUGAAACAUCUAAGUACCCCGAGGAAAAGAAAUCAACCGAGAUUCCCCCAGUAGCGGCGAGCGAACGGGGAGGAGCCCAGAGCCUGAAUCAGCAUGUGUGUUAGUGGAAGCGUCUGGAAAGGCGCGCGAUACAGGGUGAGAGUCCCGUACACAAAAGCGCAUAUGCUGUGAGCUCGAUGAGUAGGGCGGGACACGUGGUAUCCUGUCUGAAUAUGGGGGGACCAUCCUCCAAGGCUAAAUACUCCUGACUGACCGAUAGUGAACCAGUACCGUGAGGGAAAGGCGAAAAGAACCCCGGCGAGGGGAGUGAAACAGAACCUGAAACCGUGUACGUACAAGCAGUGGGAGCCCCACCACUAAGCCAGUGGUGAACUCCACAUACGCAUCCUUUGCGGAAGGUGCGGUUAACGGAGCGUAAGCGACGUUUAACCUCAAAAAAAGCAGAGGGGGCUUAGUGG
rnacentral:rRNA from 1 species